rnacentral:rRNA from 1 species
AUACGUAUGUCGCAAGCGUUAUCCGGAAUUAUUGGGCGUAAAGCGAGUCUAGGCUGCUUGUUAAGUCAGAUGUGAAAAUGCGGGGCUCAACUCCGUAUUGCGCUUGAAACUGGCAGGCUAGAGUACUGGAGAGGUGGGCGGAACUACAAGUGUAGAGGUGAAAUUCGUAGAUAUUUGUAGGAAUGCCGAUAGUGAAGACAGCUCACUGGACAGAUACUGACGCUAAAGCUCGAAAGCGUGGGGAGCGAACAGGAUUAGAAACCCCAGUAGUCC